GGAAUAUAAGAACGCGUUUCUUAACUUUCAACUAAAAAAACUAAGAACCGGCUCUUAAAUAAGAGACUUAAGAACCGUUUCUUAGCUUUUUUAGUUAAAAGUUAAAGAGACGGGUUCUUAUAUUCU
rfam:Brassica oleracea var. oleracea cultivar TO1000 chromosome C8, whole genome shotgun sequence